ensembl:lncRNA
UCCUGCGUGGGAGCGGCCCGGCCCCGGAUGCGGCCCCGGCCAGCGGGCUCCGUUCCUCUGGCCCGCUCCCCCCCACGCGCGUCCUUCCCCACCUCCGAGGGGUCCGUCGCUUCCUCCCUGACGCAACCGCUCCUGAAGAGGGCUGGGACCCCCGCCCGCGUGUGCGCAGUGGGCGCUCUCCGUUCUCGCCCCCGGCUCCGUCCGUUUGUAAAGGAUGGAGGCCGGUGGGAGAAGCCGGGAGUGGGCAGGCAGGCGGACCCGGAGGGAAGACUUCCAAGCUGUCAGCAGCCCUCCCAUCCCCGCCCUGGAACACCCACCCACCUAGUCUUCGCUCCGAUCCCCGCGGGCUGGGAAAGAGGAGGAGGAGGCUCUCUUCUCCCGGAUACUUGGCAGCCCCGAGGAGAACAAGGUCCGUCCCUGGUCCCUUAAGGUUUCGCAAACUUCCCACACCGUCCUGGCACAUAGAAAAGGCACGGGGAAAAAGUGAAAAAAAGUUAUUUUUAAAAGGAAAUCGGCUCGGCCGCCGCACACCUGCUCAGCAUCCGAAGCGCUGCCGCCGGCUGGCGUGGCCCCCCCGGGCUGCAAAACUCCAGCCCCGGAGCCCUCCGCCCGCCCCUGCGCGCCGGGACGGCUGAAAGAGAGCCCGGCUGCCCGGGCAAAGUGCGAAGGGGCUUCGGCAGGCGAGGCACCCUCGUGCUCUCCAGCGGGAAAGGAGGAAAAAGGAAGCAAAAAUGAGGGAGGCAUCUCCGGGAUGUGGUGCGAAGGUUUUCCAAGAGGGAGCGAAGGCGCCACCCCCGGACGCGCGCGCCCCCUCCCUCCCCUUAUUUUUGUUGACAGCAAAGGUUGAGGGUGGGGGUGGGAGGGGAAAGAAAUGAAAUAGUUAUCCCUAGGUUUGGGAUGUUGUUCUCCGAGGGGUGGAGAGGUGGGUAGCUGAAAUGGAAACAGCCUUCUCCUCCCUUCCCUCCCCCCUCUUCCCCUCCUCCUCCUCCUCCUCCUCCUCCUCUUCUGUUUACCUCAAGUUUGAAUUUUAUCUGCGCAACAUUAGCUGGAAUGCGGACAUUGAAGAAAAAAAAAAAGCCACCACUUUCUGAACCCAGCAGCAGCUCCGGAGGAGCCAUGUGGCAUCAAGCCACCUAACUGGGGGGAUGGGGGGCACCAAAGUCUUCUUAGCCACCCAAACAUGGCGAAAUCACCUCGAAAUCCCUCUCGGAUGCCACCAAUCCCACCUUCCCUCUCCCGGCUUCCCCAAAUCGGCUCCUGGGGCUGCGGGACCCCUCUGGGGAAAAGGAGGGGAAAACCGAGGGGCGCUGAAGAAUGGGAAGGGGCAGAGGGGGGAGGAGGGCAGCACAAGCCAGAGGAGGGGAAAGUGUUACCCAUGUACAUCCCCCCCCCAAAAAAAAAAUCCACCCGAGAAACCGAGCCUAAAAGAUGCCUUUUCCCGACAUCAUCUUCUCUUUUUCUUUAAAUUACAUGGCAAGUCUCCUUAAAGCGAAGGAAAGAAAAUUCUUCUCCCAAAGUCCUGUUGGACCAGCUUUGCCUCCUAUAAAUAACUUACCUUCGGGUAACUGACACGCUGCUAAAAAUCCUUCUGUUUUCUUCCAUGUGAGCGAAGUGCAAACGGGGGAAAAAAACAGAUGCGCAUGUAUCGCGGCGGCUCCUCUUCUAGAAUUUCCCCUUUUUGACUAUCGCGACUUUGGAGACAGCCCUGGGCUCCCCGAAUGCUCUCCGCUCCACAAUGUUGUUUCAUUAUAUCAUGUCCAUCAUGUGACACCGGAGAGGCCUCUCUAUGGAAACUUAAAGGGGACUCCCACGUGACUCUGCAGCAGCAGCAAGCAGCAGCAGCAGCAUCAACAACAGCAGCGGCAGGACCGGCGGCGGCAACAGCGCGGGUCUCAGCACCACCCACCAAGCCCACCUCGCAGCAUCCUCGAGGGGCUCCCGGGGCUGCGGGAGAAAAAGCCAGGGCGCACCAACAAUUAGGGACCAGUCUCCUCUCUUUCUCUCUCUCUUUUAAAGAGUGCCUUAUUACACUAAACAGAAGAGCCGUGCUUCCUUAAAUCCUUCCGACAUUCACAAAACCCACACGCUGUUAGAAAUGACAUCUCAGUAUUUCCUAUUUUAUGUUUCCCUGGCCGUAAUGAGUUCCCCAACAGAUAUGAGUCAUUUCAAAAGGCUGAAAAAUAAAAAAAAUUAAAUAAGACAAAAA